AAAGAGAGAGAGAGAGAGUAGGAAGAGAGAGGCUCGAGUGGCGAGAGAGAGAGGAAUAGAAAGAAGAGAGAAAGAUACUGGAGUGGUAGAGAGAGAGAGUGUAGAAUGCUGUAGCAGGAGAGAGGGGAAGAGAGGAAUAAAAAGAAGGGAGAAGGAGAGAGAGACGAGUGUUAGGAGAGAGGGAGGGACAGAGGGAAAGAAAGAAGAGAGAGAGACAGACUCGAGUGGCAGGAGAAAGAGAGAGAGAGGGAAAGAAGAGAGAGAGAGAGAGAGUCGAAUAGCAGGAGAGAGAGGGAGAGAGGAAUAGAAAGAAGAGAGAGAGAGAUACAGACGCACAGCUGCCGCUGCCUCCGCCCGAGCGCUCGGGUCUCCUUGCUGCUCCCGCCGCCGCCGGAUGGAAGAAACGGCCGCCGGCGCUCGCCCCUUCUCCAGCCCCUUCGCCUCCUUGCCCCCUGCUCCUCGCGAGUAAAUCCCCGGAGGGCGAGGAAGGAAGCACGUGGAUUGCUAAAACGGGGCAAGAUUGAAGAAGCAGAAGGAGGAGAACCAGCAACAGCGGCAGAAGAAGGAGCCGCCUCGCCGGCUGCAACCGGGACUCGGAGCCAGCUUCCCCGCUGCCUGACUUAGGGGACCCCCCCCUCUCCCUCCCCGCUCUACCGGGGCGGAGGGAGCGUAGAAGGCGGGACACCCCCCCCUUCCACCCCCCACCCACCCAGCCAGCGCCGGCCGUAAGGCUCUCCAAUGCCAUCGCGGGCGCAGAGCCGGGCAGAGAGAUGGGGAAACUUCACUCCAAGCACGCUGCUGCUUGCAAACCUCGAGAGAACCCCGAAGGUGAUAGCUUCGCCGUGAACGCCUCGCUGGCGCGGAAGGGGCUGGAGGAAUGGUCGGUGAACCCCAAAAGCAACGGGGGCGACGGCGACUUGGGAAUCCUGCAAGGCUGCCCCCACCGGGCGUUUGGCAAGUGCUCCGGUCC